rnacentral:rRNA from 1 species
AUGGCGAAAUUCUGGUGGAGUGGUUCCCUAGAUAGACGAUCCUUGCACUGGAUAUCAUGGGACAGUUUCGCAUCUCCAAAAGUUAAUGGUGGCAUGGGCUUUCAAGAUUUGCAACUGUUUAACUUGGCUCUACUUGGGAAACAUGGAUGUCGUUUCAUUACCAACCCGGAUUCCCUAUGUGGUCAUGUUAUGAAGGGACGUUAUUUCCCUGAUGGAGAGUUCAUGGAUGCCGCUGUUCCUCGCUCAUCUUCAGCUAUGUGGAGAGCCAUUGUGGCAGGUCAUGAAGCUCUAGAGGAAGGCUUAGUGAAACGUGUGGGGACUGGUACUACCAUCUCCAUAUGGGAAGACCGAUGGAUCCCGGGGCUGUCAUCUCUCCGGCCAACUGUUAUACCUGGUGGGACUACUCUAGCAUGGGUGAGUGAUCUUAUAGAUGAAGAGAAUUGGUCUUGGAAGAGAGACUUGGUUUGGGAUGUGUUCAUCCCCCCGGAAGCAGAAGCUAUACUUAAUAUACCGCUGCAUCACGGAGGAGGUGAUGAUUUCCUUGCUUGGGCUCAUGAAAGGAAUGGCAACUACUCUGUCAAAUCUGCAUACUGUGCUCUCGUGACUCGUAAAGAGCGUGUAGCUCUAGAGGAAGGGACGACUACAAGUACCUCACAGACUGAUGGACAGAUGUGGAAGCGAUUAUGGAAGCUUAAGGUUUUGCCAAAAGUGCGUGUAUUCUGGUGGCGAGUUGUGCGGGAGAUAUUACCAAAUGAAUGCACUCUGAGGCGUAGGCAUAUACAAGAAAUUGGAAGAUGCAAAGUGUGUUUGGCAAUGGAUGAGGAUUUGAUGCACGCUCUAGUGCAUUGCUCCCAUGCAAAAAUGUUCUGGGAGGAAGCUUAUAAUUGGUUGGGUGUGCGCCAGCCUCGGCUUCAUCCCGAUACAUGGGCAUGA